GACGAACGCUGGCGGCGUGCUUAACACAUGCAAGUCGAACGGAAAGGCCCCUUUGGGGGUACUCGAGUGGCGAACGGGUGAGUAACACGUGAGUAACCUGCCCUUGACUUCGGGAUAACUUCAGGAAACUAGGGCUAAUACCGGAUAGGAAUCCUUGCUGCAUGGUGGGGGUUGGAAAGCUUCGGCGGUUUUGGAUGGACUCGCGGCUUAUCAGCUUGUUGGUGGGGUAGUGGCUUACCAAGGCUUUGACGGGUAGCCGGCCUGAGAGGGCGACCGGCCACAUUGGGACUGAGAUACGGCCCAGACUCCUACGGGAGGCAGCAGUGGGGAAUAUUGCACAAUGGGCGGAAGCCUGAUGCAGCAACGCCGCGGGCGGGAUGACGGCCUUCGGGUUGGAAACCGCUUUCAGCAGGGGCGAAGCUUGUGGUGACGGUACCUGCAGAAGAAGCACCGGCUAACUACGUG
rnacentral:rRNA from 1 species